rnacentral:tRNA from 1 species
GGGCCUAUAGCUCAGCUGGUUAGAGCAUCUGACUCAUAAUCAGGGGGUCCCUGGUUCGAGCCCAGGUGGGCCCACCC